CAUGCAAGUCGAGCGAUGAACAUUGAAUGAUCCCUUCGGGGUGAUUUCGAUCGGAUUAGCGGCGAACGGGUGAGUAACGCGUGAGGAACCUGCCUCUUACAACGGGAUAGCCUCGGGAAACCGGGAUUAAUACCGUAUAAGACUCCGACAUCUCCUGAUGAUGAAGUCAAAGCGUUAGCGGUAAGAGAUGGCCUCGCGUCUGAUUAGCUUGUUGGCGGGGUAACGGCCCACCAAGGCGACGAUCAGUAACCGGCCUGAGAGGGUGAACGGUCACAUUGGAACUGAGACACGGUCCAAACUCCUACGGGAGGCAGCAGUGGGGAAUCUUGCACAAUGGGGGAAACCCUGAUGCAGCGACGCCGCGUGAGCGAUGAAGGUUUUCGAAUCGUAAAGCUCUGUCCUAUGGGAAGAUAAUGACGGUACCAUGGGAGGAAGCCCCGGCUAACUACGUGCCAGCAGCCGCGGUAAUACGUAGGGGGCGAGCGUUGUCCGGAAUUACUGGGCGUAAAGGGUUCGCAGGCGGCAUGGCAAGUCCGAUGUAAAAGGCGAAGGCUCAACCUUCGUAAGCAUCGGAAACUGUCAAGCUUGAGUGAAGGAGAGGCAAGUGGAAUUCCUAGUGUAGCGGUGGAAUGCGUAGAUAUUAGGAGGAAUACCGGUGGCGAAGGCGACUUGCUGGACUUCAACUGACGCUGAGGAACGAAAGCGUGGGUAGCAAACAGGAUUAGAUACCCUGGUAGUCC
rnacentral:rRNA from 1 species